CAAAAGUUUGGUCCUGACUUUACUGUCAACUUUAGCUAAAAUUACACAUGCAAGUAUCCGCACCCCCGUGAGAAUGCCCUAGGCUUUUCCCUGAGAAACAUAGGAGCUGGCAUCAGGUUCAAAUCUUUAGCCCACGACGCCUUGCUUGGCCACACCCUCAAGGGAACUCAGCAGUGAUAGACAUUAGGCAAUAAGUGUAAACUUGACCUAAUUAAUGCUAACAGAACCGGUUAAACUCGUGCCAGCCACCGCGGUUAUACGAGAGGUUCAAGCUGACAGACUCGGCGUAAAGCGUGGUUAGUUAAUGACUUAAUAAGGUUAAAUGCUUCCAAAGCUGUUAUACGCAAUCGGAAGUGAGAAGCCCAGCUACGAAGGUGACCUUAGAUUAAAUGAACCCACGAAAGCUAUGAAACAAACUGGGAUUAGAUACCCCACUAUGCAUAGAAGUAAACCUUGAUGAACAUCUACUUGAUCAUCCGCCCGGGUACUACGAGCAUAAGCUUAAAACCCAAAGGACUUGGCGGUGCUUUAAACCCACCUAAAGGAGCCUGUUCUAGAACCGAUACCCCCCGUUAAACCUCACCCUCUCUUGUUCUUCCCGCCUAUAUACCGCCGUCGUCAGCUUACCCUGUGAAGGAUUAGUAGUAAGCAAAGUCAGUAGUACUUAAAACGUCAGGUCGAGGUGUAGCAAAUGAGAGGGGAAGAAAUGGGCUACAUUCCUUACUUUAAGGCACCACGGACAAUAUAAUGAAAAAGUAUUAGAAGGAGGAUUUAGCAGUAAGCAGCAAAUAGAGAGUCCUGCUGAAACUGGCCCUAAAGCGCGCACACACCGCCCGUCACUCUCCCCCACCCGUUAUACAAAUAUUAAGUAAAAAUUACUAGGAACCAAGGGGAGGCAAGUCGUAACAUGGUAAGUGUACCGGAAGGUGCACUUGGAAAAU
rnacentral:ncRNA from 1 species